AUGGGGUGCAGCAGGCGCGAACACUUUACAAUGCGGGAAACCGCGAUAAGGGAACCCCGAGUGCCAGCAUCAAAUGUUGGCUGUCCAGAUGAUUAAAAAUCAUUUGUUAGCAAGGGCCGGGCAAGACCGGUGCCAGCCGCCGCGGUAACACCGGCGGCCCGAGUGGUAGCCGUUUUUAUUGGGUCUAAAGGGUCCGUAGCCGGCCUGAUAAGUCCUUUGGGAAAUCUGGCAGCUUAACUGUCAGGCUUCUAGGGGAUACUGUCAGGCUUGGGACCGGAAGAGGUAAGGGGUACUCCAGGGGUAGGAGUGAAAUCUUGUAAUCCCUGGGGGACCAUCUGUGGCGAAGGCGCCUUACCAGAACGGGUCCGACGGUGAGGGACGAAAGCUAGGGGAGCAAACCGGAUUAGAUACCCGGGUAGUCCUAGCUGUAAACGAUGCUCGCUAGGUGUCAGACACGGUGCGACCGUGUUUGGUGCCGCAGGGAAGCCGUUAAGCGAGCCACCUGGGAAGUACGGUCGCAAGGCUGAAACUUAAAGGAAUUGGCGGGGGAGCAC
rnacentral:rRNA from 1 species